rnacentral:lncRNA from 1 species
GUUCUAUGCACUUUAUGCACACAGUCCGCUGUUUUUUCAGUAUGCAUGC